rnacentral:lncRNA from 1 species
GUCAGGGUGGCUGGGGAGGCUCAGCCAGGGUGGCUGAGGUGGAAUAUAUGUUACAGUAAUUACGAAAAAUUUUUACAUGGUAUGGUUAACGUAAGGAGGUGUUAUACGAUCAUGUGAGUGGAUAGGAACAACAUGGGGCCAUUAGUCCUCAUGGAGGGACCGAGGGACAGGAGCGGUAGAUCUAUCUGGGUGUUUGAGUCUCCCUAUUUGCACUUCACAUAUGUCAGUGGCCUUGCAAACCAUUGGUGAUCACAAGUCCCCUUACACUGCUACAUACCAGGGAUUUUAUACUUACGGAAACUUUUAGUUCAUACAAAUUAACUACCAUGUUUUAUACAAAUCCAAAGAAUUAUGGGGGUAUAGAGUCAAGGUCAGGGUGGGCAUUGACG